GACGAACGCUGGCGGCGUGCCUAAUACAUGCAAGUCGAACGCAGUGGGGACGGGUGAGUAACACGUGGGUAACCUCCCAUCAGAGGGGAUAACACUUGGAAACAGGUGCUAAACAGAUAUCAAUGGAUGGACCAGCGGGGCAUUAGCUAGUUGGUGAGGUAGCGGCGCACCAAUGCCACGAUGCAUAGCCGACCGUAGAGGGUGAUCGGCCACACUGGGACUGAUACACGGCCCAGACUCCUACGUGAGGCAGCAGUAGGGAAUCUUCGGCAAUGGACGAAAGUCUGACCGAGCAACGCCGCGUGAGUGAAGAAGGUUUUCGGAUCGUAAAACUCUGUUGUUAGAGAAGCGGUAUCUAACCAGAAAGCCACGGCUAACUACGUGCCAGCAGCCGCGGUAAUUC
rnacentral:rRNA from 1 species